AUAUUUCACAUAGUCCUCCCACAAUAUAUCUGCCAUAGAGGUCCAUAUUUCACAUAGUCCUCCCACUAUAUAUCUGCUAUAGAGGUCAACAUUUCACAUAGUCCUCCCACUAUAUAUCUGCUAUAGAGGUCAAUAUUUCACAUAGUCCUCCCACUAUAUAUCUGCCAUAGAGGUCAACAUUUCACAUAGUCCUCCCACUAUAUAUCUGCUAUAGAGGUCAAUAUUUCACAUAGUCCUCCCACUAUAUAUCUGCCAUAGAGGUCAAUAUUUCACAUAGUCCUCCCACUAUAUAUCUGCCAUAGAGGUCAAUAUUUCACAUAGUCCUCCCACUAUAUA